rnacentral:rRNA from 1 species
GGGUUGUGAGGUUAAGCGACUAAGCGUACACGGUGGAUGCCCUGGCAGUCAGAGGCGAUGAAGGACGUGCUAAUCUGCGAUAAGCGUCGGUAAGGUGAUAUGAACCGUUAUAACCGGCGAUUUCCGAAUGGGGAAACCCAGUGUGAUUCGUCACACUAUCAUUAACUGAAUCCAUAGGUUAAUGAGGCGAACCGGGGGAACUGAAACAUCUAAGUACCCCGAGGAAAAGAAAUCAACCGAGAUUCCCCCAGUAGCGGCGAGCGAACGGGGAGGAGCCCAGAGCCUGAAUCAGUGUGUGUGUUAGUGGAAGCGUCUGGAAAGGCGCGCGAUACAGGGUGACAGCCCCGUACACAAAAAUGCACAUGCU